rnacentral:rRNA from 1 species
UACGUAGGGUGCAAGCGUUGUCCGGAAUUAUUGGGCGUAAAGAGCUCGUAGGCGGUUUGUCGCGUCGGCUGUGAAAGCCCGGAGCUCAACUCCGGGUCUGCAGUCGAUACGGGCAGACUUGAGUGUUGCAGGGGAGACUGGAAUUCCUGGUGGUAGCGGUGAAAUGCGCAGAUAUCAGGAGGAACACCGGUGGCGAAGGCGGGUCUCUGGGCAACAACUGACGCUGAGGAGCGAAGCGUGGGAGCGAACAGGA